rnacentral:rRNA from 1 species
UUGACCUCGGAUCAGGUAGGACUACCCGCUGAACUUAAGCAUAUCAAUAAGCGGAGGAGAAGAAAMCAACAGGGAUUGCCCC